rnacentral:rRNA from 1 species
CCACCUUUGACAUGGCAGGAAGGUCUCAGAGAUGGGAUUGUGCCCGAAAGGGAACCUGCACACAGGUGCUGCAUGGCUGUCGUCAGCUCGUGUCGUGAGAUGUUGGGUUAAGUCCCGCAACGAGCGCAACCCUUGCCAUUAGUUGCUACGAAAGGGCACUCUAAUGGGACUGCCGGUGACAAACCGGAGGAAGGUGGGGAUGACGUCAAGUCCUCAUGGCCCUUAUAGGUGGGGCUACACACGUCAUACAAUGGCUGGUACAGAGGGUUGCCAACCCGCGAGGGGGAGCCAAUCCCACAAAGCCAGUCGUAGUCCGGAUCGCAGUCUGCAACUCGACUGCGUGAAGUCGGAAUCGCUAGUAAUCGUGGAUCAGCAUGUCACGGUGAAUACGUUCCCGGGUCUUGUACACACCG